rnacentral:rRNA from 1 species
AGUGGGGAAUCUUGCCCAAUGGGCGCAAGCCUGAGGCAGCAACGCCGCGUGCGGGAAGAAGGCUCUCGGGUUGUAAACCGCUUUCAGCAGGAACGAAACUGACGGUACCUGCAGAAGAAGGUGCGGCCAACUACGUGCCAGCAGCCGCGGUGACACGUAGGCACCAAGCGUUGUCCGGAUUUAUUGGGCGUAAAGAGCUCGUAGGCGGUUCGGUAAGUCGGGUGUGAAAUCCCUGGGCUCAACCCAGGAAGUGCACCCGAUACUGCUGUGACUUGAGUACGGUAGGGGAGUGCGGAAUUCCUGGUGUAGCGGUGGAAUGCGCAGAUAUCAGGAGGAACACCAAUGGCGAAGGCAGCACUCUGGGCCGAAACUGACGCUGAGGAGCGAAAGCGUGGGGAGCGAA